rnacentral:lncRNA from 1 species
CAGGAACUGAGAGCCAGGCGGGACACAGGAGCAAAUCCACCAGGGCUUGCUGGCCAAAGUAGUGUUCCAUUAUGACUCCAAGGAAGAGAGACCUGCGCCUGCCUGACCCCACCUUGGCAUCUGUCCUCAGAUAUCUGAGGGUCUGCCAUAAGGGACUAAACUCAAGCUUGGCUCUACGUUGCUCAAAAGAAAGAAAAUGACCAAG